AUCACUUCUCAGCCUUUUGGCUAAGAUCAAGGGUAGUAUCAGUUCUUAUCAGUUCUUUUUUUUUUCUCUCUUUUGAGAUAGAGUCUCGCUCUGUUGCCCAGCUGGAGUGCAGUGGCGCAGUCUCAGCUCACUGCAACCUCC
rnacentral:snRNA from 1 species